rnacentral:lncRNA from 1 species
UUCUGCUGAUUUUAAUCAUAUGGCAUAGCCUGGAAUCACUUCAAAAUUAUGGAAGACUUUCAAACUGCACAAACAAGUGCCCCCUCCCUCCAUCUUCUCUCCAGUUAACUUAUUUAUUCUCUCAGUACGUUUUUUUGCUCUUCCUUCCACUACUCACUCUUCAACUCUCACAGUUUCUCAUAUCUCUGUGUUGAUAUGUCACUCUUCAACUCACAGUUUCUCAUAUCUCUGUGUUGAUAUGUCACUCUUCAACUCACAGUUUCUCAUAUCUCUGUGUUG